rnacentral:tRNA from 1 species
UGGGAGGUGGCUCAGUGGUAGAGUGCUUGCCUUGCAUGCAUGAGGCCCGGGGUUCAAUUCCUAGCACCACAU